rnacentral:rRNA from 1 species
CAGCCGCCACGGUAAUACAGAGGGUGCGAGCGUUAAUCGGAUUUACUGGGCGUAAAGCGUGCGUAGGCGGCUUUUUAAGUCGGAUGUGAAAUCCCUGAGCUUAACUUAGGAAUUGCAUUCGAUACUGGGAAGCUAGAGUAUGGGAGAGGAUGGUAGAAUUCCAGGUGUAGCGGUGAAAUGCGUAGAGAUCUGGAGGAAUACCGAUGGCGAAGGCAGUUAUCUGGCCUAAUACUGACGCUGAGGUACGAAAGCAUGGGGAGCAAACAGGAUUAGAUACCCCAGUAGUCCCUGUCUCUUAUAC